GCCGAGAUAGCUCAGCUGGGAGAGCAAUAGACUGAAGAUCUAGAGGUCCCGUGUUCAAUCCACGGUCUUGGCA
rnacentral:tRNA from 1 species